rnacentral:rRNA from 1 species
CCUACGGGUGGCAGCAGUGAGGGAUAUUGCUCAAUGGGCGCAACCCUGAUCCAGCCAAGUCGCGUGAAGGAAGAAGGCCCUAGGGGUUGUAAACUUCUUUUAUAGGGGAAUAAAUGAAGGCACGUGUGGCUGUUGGUAUGUACCUUAUGAAUAAGGAUCGGCUAACUACGUGCCAGCAGCCGCGGUAAUACGGAGGAUCCGAGCGUUAUCCGGAUUUAGUGGGUUUAAAGGGGGCGUAGAUGGGUUUUUAAGUCAGAUGUGAAAGUUUGCGGCUCAACCGUAAAAUUGCAAUUGAUACUGGGUGGCUUGAGUGCAGUUGAGGUAGGCGGAAUGCGUGGUGUAGCGGUGAAAUGCUUAGAUAUCACGAAGAACUCCGAUGGCGAAGGCAGCUUACUAAGCUGCCACUGACAUUGAUGCUCGAAAGUGUGGGUAUCAAACAGGAUUAGAUACCCCAGUAGUC